AUCUAGAGAUAUCAUCAUAUUUCUUCAGCAAAAACGCCAUGGGAGGUCUGAAAACUGCUGGUUUUUCAUACUUUGACAUAUGGUGUUACAAUAAUUUGGCAAGAGAAGCAUUAAGGAAGCGAGAAGAAAAGUACCUGGAGGGAGCAGAUCUCAUUCAUCUCCAACGCGACCGAGAGGGGAGAAGGCCAAGGCAACCAGAUUGAAAAAUCUCCGAAGAAGAUAUGAAAAUAUAAGGGUAGCAGCAAUGACAUACUUUCUUGGAACUUGGUAUCAGUUGGUAAGCUGGUAUAGAGAUUUGAAAAGACAAAAAGUUAAUAGGUACCAGCUAUCUUGAUAGUGACUGGAUUAGGUUUCCAAUUUUUUAUUUCGUUUAUUCUUUAUGUUCUUUGUUUCUCUUGGGCCUUUUAAGUUUUUUGGGCUGUUUCUUCUUUUAUUUGUUUUCUUUAUUCGGGACUUAGUCUCAGAGUUGUAAAGGAGUUUUUAAUUUUGUUUAUUUGUUUAGUUUUAAUAAAAUCCAGUCGCAUUUUUCAAAAAAAAA